GCUGCCAUGGCUCAGGAGGUAGAGCGUCGCCUUGGUAAGGCGGAGGCCACGGGUUCAAAUCCCGUUGGCAGCU
rfam:Eubacterium sp. CAG:161 genomic scaffold, scf185